UUUUGGGUCCGAGUUGUAAUUUGUAGAGGAUGCUUCGGGCAAGGCCGUGGUCUAAUUCGCUAGGAACAGCGGGUCAUAGAGGGUGAGAACCCCGUCUAGGACCGCACGCCGCGUCCAUGUGAAGCUCCUUCGACGAGUCGAGUUGUUUGGGAAUGCAGCUCUAAAUGGGUGGUAAAUUUCAUCUAAAGCUAAAUAUUGGCCAGAGACCGAUAGCGCACAAGUAGAGUGAUCGAAAGAUGAAAAGCACUUUGAAAAGAGAGUUAAACAGUACGUGAAAUUGUUGAAAGGGAAGCGCUUGCAAUCAGACUUGUGGCCGACGGUUCCCCCGGCCCUCGUGGCCGGGCUACUCCGUCGUGUCCAGGCCAACAUCGGUCUGGGUGGCCGGUUAAAGACCUCGGGAAUGUAUCUACCUCCGGGUCGACUUAUAGCCCGGGGUGGAAUGCGGCCCACCCGGACCGAGGAACGCGCUCCGGCUCGGAUGUUGGCGUAAUGGUUGCAAGCGGCCCGUCUUGAAACACGGACCAAGGAGUCUAACAUCUAUGCGAGUGUUUGGGUGUCAAACCCCUACGCGGAAUGAAAGUGAACGGAGGUAAGAACCCGCAAGGGCGCAUUAUCGACCGAUCCUGAUGUCUUCGGAUGGAUUUGAGUAAGAGCAUAGCUGUUGGGACCCGAAAGAUGGUGAACUAUGCCUGAAUAGGGUGAAGCCAGAGGAAACUCUGGUGGA
rnacentral:rRNA from 1 species